rnacentral:rRNA from 1 species
CUACGGAGGGUGCAAGCGUUACUCGGAAUCACUGGGCGUAAAGGACGCGUAGGCGGGUUGUCAAGUCAGAUGUGAAAUCCUACAGCUUAACUGUAGAACUGCAUUUGAAACUGCUAACCUAGAGUAUGGGAGGGGGAGAUGGAAUUAGUGGUGUAGGGGUAAAAUCCGUAGAUAUCACUAGGAAUACCGAAAGCGAAGGCGAUCUCCUGGAACAUAACUGACGCUAAGGCGUGAAAGCGUGGGGAGCAAACAGGAUUAGAAACCCUAGUAGUCC